GUGGGGAAUUUUGGACAAUGGGCGAAAGCCUGAUCCAGCAAUGCCGCGUGCAGGAUGAAGGCCCUCGGGUUGUAAACUGCUUUUGUACGGAACGAAAAGCCUGGGGCUAAUAUCCCCGGGUCAUGACGGUACCGUAAGAAUAAGCACCGGCUAACUACGUGCCAGCAGCCGCGGUAAUACGUAGGGUGCAAGCGUUAAUCGGAAUUACUGGGCGUAAAGCGUGCGCAGGCGGUUUUGUAAGACAGUGGUGAAAUCCCCGGGCUCAACCUGGGAACUGCCAUUGUGACUGCAAGGCUAGAGUGCGGCAGAGGGGGAUGGAAUUCCGCGUGUAGCAGUGAAAUGCGUAGAUAUGCGGAGGAACACCGAUGGCGAAGUCAAUCCCCUGGGCCUGCACUGACGCUCAUGCACGAAAGCGUGGGGAGCAAACAGGAUUAGAAACCCGUGUAGUCC
rnacentral:rRNA from 1 species